GGUCCGUUCGUAUAUCGGUUAGUACUCAAGAUUUUCAUUCUUGCAAGGGGGGUUCGAUUCCCCCACGGACUACCA
rnacentral:tRNA from 1 species